UAGUUGACAGAUUAUCUGGGCCCUUGGAA
rnacentral:piRNA from 1 species